rnacentral:rRNA from 1 species
UUCUUGGAGAGUUUGAUCCUGGCUCAGGACGAACGCUGGCGGCGUGCCUAAUACAUGCAAGUCGAGCGGACUUGAUGGAGAGCUUGCUCUCCUGAUGGUUAGCGGCGGACGGGUGAGUAACACGUAGGCAACCUGCCUGCAAGACCGGGAUAACCCACGGAAACGUGAGCUAAUACCGGAUAUCUCAUUUCCUCUCCUGAGGGAAUGACGAAAGACGGAGCAAUCUGUCACUUGCGGAUGGGCCUGCGGCGCAUUAGCUAGUUGGUGAGGUAACGGCUCACCAAGGCGACGAUGCGUAGCCGACCUGAGAGGGUGAACGGCCACACUGGGACUGAGACACGGCCCAGACUCCUACGGGAGGCAGCAGUAGGGAAUCUUCCGCAAUGGGCGAAAGCCUGACGGAGCAACGCCGCGUGAGUGAUGAAGGUUUUCGGAUCGUAAAGCUCUGUUGCCAGGGAAGAACGU